UAAACUGAUUUCUGGUCCCAGUCCGUUCCUGGUUCAAAGUACUUUAAACUGAUUUCUGGUCCCAGUCCGUUCCUGGUUCAAAGUACUUUAAACUGAUUUCUGGUCCCAGUCCGUUCCUGGUUCAAAGUACUUUAAACUGAUUUCUGGUCCCAGUCCGUUCCUGGUUCAAAGUACUUUAAACUGAUUUCUGGUCCCAGUCCGUUCCUGGUUCAAAGUACUUUAAACUGAUUUCUGGUCCCAGUCCGUUCCUGGUUCAAAGUACUUUAAACUGAUUUCUGGUCCCAGUCCGUUCCUGGUUCAAAGUACUUUAAACUGAUUUCUGGUCCCAGUCCGUUCCUGGUUCAAAGUGCAUUAAACGUCUGUCCCCUGAACAUGCAGUGGAGCGUAGACCAAAAGUUAGACAUCAAAUGCAAUGGUGGUUCGACUGCACUCAAAAUGAUGAAACCUUUCCUAAUCCCAAUUGCCAUUAACAACAUAUAAGAAUUGAAGCCAGAUACACGCCUUCAGGAAACUGUCUGGCUUGUUUUGGGGACGAACAGUCCCUUUAAUGUACCCCCUCUUUCUCUCUCUCUCAUUACAAUCAGUGGUAGGGCCUUGGUUGAGAGGUGAACCACUAAUACAGCUCCUCUACUACAGCAAUAAGCAUCUCUCUCUCUCAUUACAAUCAGUGCUAGGGCCUUGGUUGAGAGGUGAACCACUAAUUCAGCUCCUCUACUACAGCAAUAAGCGUCUCUCUCUCUCAUUACAAUCAGUGGUAGGGCCUUGGUUGAGAGGUGAACCACUAAUUCAGCUCCUCUACUACAGCAAUAAGCGUCUCUCUCUCUCAUUACAAUCAGUGCUAGGGCCUUGGUUGAGAGGUGAACCACUAAUUCAGCUCCUCUACUACAGCAAUAAGCGUCUCUCUCUCUCAUUACAAUCAGUGCUAGGGCCUUGGUUGAGAGGUGAACCACUAAUUCAGCUCCUCUACUACAGCAAUAAGCAUCUCUCUCUCUCAUUACAAUCAGUGGUAGGGCCUUGGUUGAGAGGUGAACCACUAAUUCAGCUCCUCUACUACAGCAAUAAGCGUCUCUCUCUCUCAUUACAAUCAGUGGUAGGGCCUUGGUUGAGAGGUGAACCACUAAUUCAGCUCCUCUACUACAGCAAUAAGCAUCUCUCUCUCUCAUUACAAUCAGUGGUAGGGCCUUGGUUGAGAGGUGAACCACUAAUUCAGCUCCUCUACUACAGCAAUAAGCAUCUCUCUCUCUCAUUACAAUCAGUGCUAGGGCCUUGGUUGAGAGGUGAACCACUAAUUCAGCUCCUCUACUACAGCAAUAAGCAUCUCUCUCUCUCAUUACAAUCAGUGGUAGAGCCUUGGUUGAGAGGUGAACCACUAAUUCAGCUCCUCUACUACAGCAAUAAGCAUCUCUCUCUCUCAUUACAAUCAGUGCUAGGGCCUUGGUUGAGAGGUGAACCACAAAUACAGCUCCUCUACUACAGCAAUAAGCGUCUCUCUCUCUCAUUACAAUCAGUGGUAGGGCCUUGGUUGAGAGGUGAACCACUAAUUCAGCUCCUCUACUACAGCAAUAAGCAUCUCUCUCUCUCAUUACAAUCAGUGCUAGGGCCUUGGUUGAGAGGUGAACCACUAAUUCAGCUCCUCUACUACAGCAAUAAGCGUCUCUCUCUCUCAUUACAAUCAGUGGUAGGGCCUUGGUUGAGAGGUGAACCACUAAUUCAGCUCCUCUACUACAGCAAUAAGCGUCUCUCUCUCUCAUUACAAUCAGUGGUAGGGCCUUGGUUGAGAGGUGAACCACUAAUUCAGCUCCUCUACUACAGCAAUAAGCGUCUCUCUCUCUCUCUCUCUCUCUCUCUCUCUCAUUACAAUCAGUGGUAGGGCCUUGGUUGAGAGGUGAACCACUAAUACAGCUCCUCUACUACAGCAAUAAGCGUCUCUCUCUCUCAUUACAAUCAGUGGUAGGGCCUUGGUUGAGAGGUGAACCACUAAUUCAGCUCCUCUACUACAGCAAUAAGCAUCUCUCUCUCUCAUUACAAUCAGUGGUAGGGCCUUGGUUGAGAGGUGAACCACUAAUUCAGCUCCUCUACUACAGCAAUAAGCGUCUCUCUCUCUCAUUACAAUCAGUGCUAGGGCCUUGGUUGAGAGGUGAACCACUAAUUCAGCUCCUCUACUACAGCAAUAAGCGUCUCUCUCUCUCAUUACAAUCAGUGCUAGGGCCUUGGUUGAGAGGUGAACCACUAAUUCAGCUACUCUACUACAGCAAUAAGCGUCUCUCUCUCCUGGGUGUUUUGAGGCUAAGUUCACUUGUUCCACAGACAUGCACACAAGCACGCACACAUGUGCACACACACAAUCUAAUCCCUCAGCUUUCUCUCCCCACAGCACGUCUGGCUCUGUCUGUCGAUACUACUGUCUCUGGGCAACGGCAGAGCUUCGCCAGCUAAAUGUCAACUGUGGCCGACGGCCUAACCCCAGGACACAGCGCUCAUAAUUAGGGGCCCAUUUAAUUCAUGUAAAUCAAUAAGCGAAUUGACUUAAAUCUGACACCCAUGUAGAUCACAGACUUAGAUGUCGACGCCGUGCCGAAAGUAAUGAUCACGAUAAGCAGAACUGGCAAGCAACCUUUUAGUUGGCAAAUGAAGUUAUAAUUCGUUGUGAAAUGAUGGUAUUGUCAUGUCUUCGGACCAUAGCACAGGUUCCAAUCCAAGUGCCAGUGUCGUUCAGCAAACCCCAGACAUGUAUAUGUGUUGAUGACAUGAAAAUAGAGGUCUUUGACUACGCACACAAGUGUCUCUGCCAGGAGGCUGAAACUUGGCCAAAUGACAGUGCCUUCAGAACGUAUAAACCUCUUGACUUAUUCAACAUUUUGUAGCCUGAAAUCAAAAUUGAUUGAAUAGAUUUUUUCUCUCACCCAUCUACACACAAAACCCCAUAAUAACAAAGUGAAAAUAUGAUUUUAGACAUUUUUGCAAAUGUAUUCAAUUAAAUACAUAAAUAUCUAAUUUACAUGACUUUUCACACCCCUGAGUCAACACUUUGUAGAAGCACCUUUGGUGGCGAUUACAGCUUUGAGUCGUCUUGGGUUUGUCUGUAUCAGCUGUGAGUCGUCUUGGGUUUGUCUGUAUCAGCUGUGAGUCGUCUUGGGUUUGUCUGUAUCAGCUUUGAGUCGUCUUGGGUUUGUCUGUAUCAGCUGUGAGUCGUCUUGGGUUUGUCUGUAUCAGCUUUGAGUCGUCUUGGGUUUGUCUGUAUCAGCUUUGAGUCGUCUUGGGUUUGUCUGUAUCAGCUUUGAGUCGUCUUGGGUUUGUCUGUAUCAGCUUUGAGUUGUCUUGGGUUUGUCUGUAUCAGCUUUGAGUCGUCUUGGGUUUGUCAGCUUUACACAUAUGGAUUUGGGGAUUUUUUCCCCAUUCUUCCUUUUCUCAAACUCUUGUUAAGUUAAAUGGGGACGACGGUGAAAAGCAAUCUUCAAGUUUUCCACAGAUUUUCAAUGGGAUUCAAGUCUGGGCUUUGACUGGACCACUCAAUGACGUUGACAUUCUUGUUAUGAUGCCUUUCCAGCGUUGCUUCGGCUUUAUGCUUGGUGUUUUCCUGUUGAAACGUAACGCCCCCAGUCUAAGGUCAUUUGCUCUCUGAAGCAGGUUCUCAUCAAGGAUGUGCCUGUAUUUGGCUCUUCACCAGUCUCCCAGUUCAAGGAUUUGCCUGUAUUUGGCUCUUCACCAGUCUCCCAGUUCAAGGAUUUGCCUGUA